CCCUGCGCAAGGGAUCUUUUGGCUCGCUGUGCGAUGAAGGGCGCAGCGGAGGGCGAAAUGUGCAGGAGCGGCAGCAGUGAUCGCACGUGCCCGAAGGUGCCGCAAGGCAGGCAGACCCCUUUGAAUUAAGCAUAGGAGUAGAGGGAGGAAAAGAAACUAACAAGGAUUCCCGCAGUAGCGGCGAGCGAAGAGGGAACAGCCCGGGGUGCAAUCGCAGCGAUGCGAGAUGUCAGUGGGCGCGCGGAACCGUUCUGGAAAGACGGGCCGGAGAGGGUGAGAGCCCCGUGGACGCGCGCGGACCGGUCGGAGUAGCGGUGCUUGGUAGUGCACCGUCAAGGGGUGGCAGCGUGCAUCCAAGGCUAAAUACGGCAGCGAGACCGAUAGCGGAUAAGUAGAGUGAUCGAAGAAAGAAUAGUUUGAAAAGGUGAAAUUGCGCAGGGAGCCGAGCGGCUCGGCCCCGUCUUGAAACACGGACCAAGGAGUGCAAGUACGCGGCGAGUCGGGGGCAGCGAGUGCCCUGGGCGGAGCGAAGGCGGCGGAGCCGCGUGCCUGCGACCCGAUAGACUUGUGAACUAUGCCUGGAGGCUGCGAAGGCUGACGAAAGACAGCUGGAGGCAGUAAGCUGUUCUGAUGUGCAAAUCAAUGGCGCGAGCUGGGCAUAGGGGCGAAAGACCAAACGAACAGUCUGGUAGCUGGUUCCCCCCGAAAUGUGUAUAAGGACAGCACGCGAGCAGAGAGAGGCUAGGUAGAGCAAAGGUCGCUUAACGCGAGUGGCGAACGAACUGCGAAUGAGCCUGGCGGGCCGUGCGUGAAGACGGGCCGCGGACUUGAGCGAGCGUAGUGGGCGAGUUCUGGUAAGCAGGACUGGCGAAGAGGAAUGAACCUAGCGGGACGAUAAGGCACCCAACAUUGUGGCAGAGAUGUGAAGGGUGUAGGUGAAUGAAGACGAUAGGGCGGUGGCCAUGGAAGUCGGCAUCCGGUAAGAAACGUGUUGCAACGUACCUAUGGAAUUCAGCUGCUCCGAAAAUUGACGGUGCUUACGCGAUGGCCGAUGCGUCUCUUGAGGUAGGGGGGCGUGCAGGUGCUGGAGAAGGUGUGCCGCGAGGCACGGUGGAGGCGCCUGCAGCGCAGAUCUUGGUGGUAGUAGUGAGAAUUCGUCUGGGAGGGCGAAGACCGAGGAGGAGGAGGUUUUCCUUACGAUGGACAACAGUGAGGAGUGAGCCGGUGCUGAGCGACGGCGUGGAUGCCAGAGCGACAGAGAAGCAGGAGGGCUUUCCUGCGCCGCGGUGCUGUGCGGCAACGCGCUGUGUCUGUUGACGGGCCUGGUUGUGCGGGGCAGAGCAUCCUUCUCUGCAGAGUGUGUGAGCGUGCCCGGAGAUGGGUCAGCCAGCGGACGGCACGUGCAGCAGCAGGCCGACGUGUCGGCAUCCGCAGACAGCAGGCUCCCGUGAAAAGGCAGAUGCGGCGGUACUGCGACCGUACCGAUAACCGCGACAGGUCUCCGAGGUGAGUAGCCUCUGGUUGAUGUUUAACGCAGGUAAGGGAAGUCGGCAAAAUGGAUGCGUAACUUCGGGAGAAGUAUUGGUUCUUACGGAACUGUUGGUGGCACGGGGAAUCUGACUGUUUAAUAGAAACAUAGCUUCGUGAAGGAGAGACGAAGUGAGUUCUGCCCGGUGCUCGAAGAGUGAAGGGCCGGAGACGGCUGUAAGCACGGGUCAACGGCGGGAGUAACUAUGACUCUCUUAAGGUAGCCAAACGCCUCGUCACUUAAAUGGUGACGCGCAUGAAUGGAAUGACGAGAUUCCCACUGUCCCUACCUGCAGACUAGCGAACCCACGGGCCAGGGGAACGGGCCUGGCACAGUCAGCGGGGAAAGAAGACCCUGUUGAGCUUGACUCUAGUGUGGCAGAGCGGUGGGGACAGUUGCGAUGUAGGAAGGUGGGAGCUUCGGCACAAGUGAAAGACCACUGCGCAACAGUCCCCCUUGGACACCCCUGCGGGGAUGGCUGCUAGAUGGGGAGUUUGGCUGGGGCGGCACGGCUGCAGCAACAGAACGCAGCCGUCCGAAGGCACUUGCAGCGAGACGAGAACACCCGUGUGGAGCAUAAGGGCUUUAGAGUGCUUGAGCACAGGCUGGGCGGCCUGUGUGCGGGGAAACCCAGGCUUAGAGAUCCCACGAUCACGAGACGGUUGUGGCGUGGGUGACAGAAAAGUUACCGCAGGGAUAACUGGCUUGUGGCACCCGAGCGCAGAAAGCGACGGUGCUUUUUGAUUCUUCGAUGUCGGCUCUUCCUAUCAUGGCCAUGCAGGAGUGGCGAAGUGUUGGAUUGUUCACCCACAAACAGGGAACGUGAGCUGGGUUUAGACCGUCGUGAGACAGGUUAGUUUUAUCCUACUGACUGGCGUGGAAGGGCAGAGGGUUGUAGUACGAAAGGAAGGCCCCUCGAGACCACUGGUGGAGCGAUUGUGCGGAUGUGCAUGUUGCGAUGCUACGUCUCCCUGAGCAUAGCUGAAGGCCUCUAAGCUAGAAGCGGGACCUGAACACGUAGGCGGGCGCGAAGACGACGCGUUGUGGAUGAUGGAGUUGUACGGCACGAGCAACGGAGCAAUCCAGCGAGUGUCUGAGACUCCAGGCAUCCCUCCGCCGCCCCUUCCACGUGUAUACACACGGCGGCAGCGUUAAUUUGUUUGGUUGUAGCUGUCUGAGUAUGUUGCGUAGCGGUCAGUGACACUGUGGAUGCUCCUGGGAGGGGGACCAAACGUAGACACUGAGCUACGUGUUAAGAUCUCUGUUGCGGUUGCAACAUAUCUUACCUGUGUAUUACCGAUACAGGCAAGGAUCUUGGAAAAGCUU
rnacentral:rRNA from 1 species